rnacentral:rRNA from 1 species
AGGCGACUGGGCGCGGAACCUGAAAAACCUGUCUCAGUUCGGAUCGGAGUCUGCAACCCGACUCCGUGAAGCUGGAUUCGCUAGUAAUCGCGCAUCAGCCAUGGCGCGGUGAAUACGUUCCCGGGUCUUGUACACACCGCCCGUCACACCAUGGGAGUCGGAAAUGCCCGAAGUCUGUGACCCAACCUUAGGGAGGGAGCAGCCGAAGGCAGGUCGGAUGACUGGGGUGAAGUCGUAACAAGGUACC